CUUUCAGUGCCGGGCACCCUUAUGUUCACCAGAAAUGUGCCAUCCUGACUCUUUCUGUCAUUAGGUUCUCUUUGGAGUGAUGGAUGGGCACCUGAUGAGCACCAGAUCAGAACAUCUGAGCUCUAAUUAGAGAACCCUGACAAGCAUGCCUGGCUUGGUGUCACUGUGAUCCAACAGAGAACCCCGAGACUGCUCCUACUCCUGCGACAACACUGUUCGCUUCCCGCUGAGAUGGUGGUGCCUGAGAGGGAGGUGCUGUGCAGAGAUACUAGAGACGCACAAUGGAAUCUUGGAACUGAUCAGCUAGCUGCAGAGAUGCUUCCAGAAUUUGCAGUAGGCCACUUUUACCGGGGUACUCCAGAUGGGAGCAAGUUCUGUCCCUCCGCCUGCCCCCUAGGAAAUCCAGCGGCUGCCAUCUUCCAGAACUCAAUGAAAA